rnacentral:rRNA from 1 species
GAGUUCAAGAGUACGUGAAACCGUUCAGGGGUAAACCUGAGAAACCCGAAAGGUCGAACGGGGAGAUUCAGACGUGUCUCGGAAGACCGCGGCGAGUCGGUGACCAGUGACGAUCGGCGUUCGCGCCGGGCGCACUGUCUCCGUUCCGUCCGCGGCCGAACGCGUGCACUUCUCCCCCUGUAGGACGUCGCGACCCGUUGGGCGCCGGCCUAAGGCCCGCGGUGGAGCCCGUUCGAGCUUCUGCUCGUGCGGACCCGCGGUGUCCCGGCCGGCGGUUUACCGACGGUACGAUUGAGGCGCGGGGCCGCGACUUGUUCGCGUCCGGCCGGUCGCAAGUGCGGACGGUCAACCCGACAUUCGGACCCAGUGCCGGAUCCGGGCCCGUUCGACUGCUGGCGACCGUGCUCUCGGACAGACCCCGAACACGCCCGUCGGCGGCGCUAUAGCUUUGGGUACUUUCAGGACCCGUCUUGAAACACGGACCAAGGAGUCUAGCAUGUGCGCGAGUCAUUGGGACCAUGACUAAACCUAAAGGCGCAAUGAAAGUGAAGGUCCGCCGAGCGCGGACCGAGGGAGGAUGGGUGGUCCUCCGUGACCGCCCCGCACUCCCGGGGCGUCUCGAUCUCAUCGCGAGAUGAGGCGCACCCAGAGCGUACACGCUGGGACCCGAAAGAUGGUGAACUAUGCCUGGUCAGGACGAAGUCAGGGGAAACCCUGAUGGAGGUCCGUAGCGAUUCUGACGUGCAAAUCGAUCGUCGGAACUGGGUAUAGGGGCGAAAGACUAAUCGAACCAUCUAGUAGCUGGUUC